rnacentral:tRNA from 1 species
GGGGUUGUGGCUCAGUGGUAGAGCGCUUGCCUAGCAAGCAUGAGGCACUGGGUUCAAUUCUCAGCACCACA